UAAUAUUUGCAAUUUGAAAACAAAUUAAUUUCGUACAUUUUCCCGAUUUUCCCCGUUUAUUAUGAAUACAGCUGGGAAAAUCAAAAAACCGGCCUGCCUAAAGUACCACCCCUGCAAUCAGGUUUUCUUUCGGAAAAAGGGCUACACCAGAAAAGUUAUGUUUUGCAUAAGAGUCCCGAUUAGUUCAUUACCGUGCUUAUAAGUGCACA